rnacentral:rRNA from 1 species
GUAAUAUAUCGGAACGUACCCUAGAGUGGGGGAUAACGUAUCGAAAGUUACGCUAAUACCGCAUACGAUCUAAGGAUGAAAGUGGGGGAUCGCAAGACCUCAUGCUCGUGGAGCGGCCGAUAUCUGAUUAGCUAGUUGGUAGGGUAAAAGCCUACCAAGGCAUCGAUCAGUAGCUGGUCUGAGAGGACGACCAGCCACACUGGAACUGAGACACGGUCCAGACUCCUACGGGAGGCAGCAGUGGGGAAUUUUGGACAAUGGGCGAAAGCCUGAUCCAGCAAUGCCGCGUGAGUGAAGAAGGCCUUCGGGUUGUAAAGCUCUUUUGUCAGGGAAGAAACGGUGAAAGCUAAUAUCUUUUGCUAAUGACGGUACCUGAAGAAUAAGCACCGGCUAACUACGUGCCAGCAGCCGCGGUAAUACGUAGGGUGCAAGCGUUAAUCGGAAUUACUGGGCGUAAAGCGUGCGCAGGCGGUUUUGUAAGUCUGAUGUGAAAUCCCCGGGCUCAACCUGGGAAUUGCAUUGGAGACUGCAAGGCUAGAAUCUGGCAGAGGGGGGGUAGAAUUCCACGUGUAGCAGUGAAAUGCGUAGAAUAUGUGGAGGAACACCGAUGGCGAAGGCAGCCCCCUGGGUCAAGAUUGACGCUCAUGCACGAAAGCGU